GCAAACUGCGCGUCGCCAUGUGAACUGCAGGACACAUGAUCAUUGACACGUUGAACGCAUAUUGCGCCUUAUACAUUUGGUUCUAACAAACGUUAAAAUUUGCGGAACUGUAUAAGGUACAUAUGGUUGAGUGUCGUAAUUUCAUAUUAUUUGAACUAUAAACAAUGUACACCCAGUGUAUGUUGUAUAAUUCAUUGUCAUCAAAGCCUCUUGUAACAGAGAGAUUUAUGACUAAGGUACUAUUGUCAGUUUACGCAUUUAUCACAUAUAGUGUUUCUCUAAUGAAAUGCUUAAUGUGUGCGCUAACUAUACGUUUUCUCGUAGAAAUUAGUUGCAUUUACAUUAUAUUCAAAACGAGAUAUCGCUAGUGAUAGCUUAUUGACAGCAAAACAAACAUACGAAUCUCAAUAUAAACUUAACAAUUUUAUUGAGCGACCUCAACUCAUGUGUG
rnacentral:rRNA from 1 species